rnacentral:lncRNA from 1 species
CUUCAAAUGUCUUACAAUUUUAUUUGUCAAUUAUACCUCAAUAAAGCUGAAACAAAAAUUUGUGUCAGACUUAUAACCUACAGACAUGUAAGAUAAUAAGUUCGUUUUGUGUUAAGCCACUAAGUUUGUGAUAACUUUUUACAGCAGUAAUGGAAAACUAAUACAGGGAUUAAUAAAGCUUAAAACUCAAUCAAAUCUAUUUUAAAAAUUCGGUUUUUUAAAACUACCUAGAUAGUAGUCAAGACGCAUGGUGCUGGCAUAAGGAUAAACAUAUAGAUCAAUGGAAUAGAACUGAGAGUCCAGGAAAAAAUCCGUACAUUUAUGGUCAAUUAAUUUUCAACAAGGGUGCCAAGACAACUCAAUGGGGGAAAGAAUAGACUUUUCAACAAAUGAAGCUAGGAAAGCUAGAUAUCCACCAGAAAAAGAAUGAAGGUGAAGCCCUACUUCACACCAUAUACAGAAAUUAACUCAAAAUGGAUCAAAGACCUAAAUUUAAGGGGUAAAACUAUAAAACUCAUAAAACAACGUAGGUGUAUAUUUUUGUGACCUUGGGUUAGGCAAUGAUUUCUUAAAGACGACACCAAAAGUGCAAGGAAUCAACAUAAAUAAAAUAAAUUGGACUUCAUCAAAAUUAAAAUCUUUUAUGUUUCCAGGGACACUAUCAACAAAGUGAAAAGAAAACCCACAAAAUGAGAUAAAAUAUUUGCAAAUCAUAUAUCUCACAAGGGAUUUCCAUACAGAACAUAUAAAGAACACUUACAACUCAACAAUAAAAAGACAACCUAAAUAAAAAAUGGGCAAAGGAUUUGAAUAGACAUUUAUCUAAAGAAGAUAUAGGGCCAGCCCAGUGGUGUAGAGGUUAAGUGCAUGCACUUUGCUUUGGUGGCCUGGGAGUUUAUGGGUUCAGACCCCAAGCAUGGACUUUUACACUGUUCAUCAAGCCAUGCUAUGGCGGCAUCCCACAUACAAAAUAAAGGAAGAUUGGCACAAACGUUAGCUCAGAGACAAUCUUCCUCAAGCAAAAAGAGGAAGACCAGCAAUGGAUGUUCGUUCAGGGCCAAUCUUCUUCACCAAAAAAAAUAAAAAUAAAGAAGAUAUACACAGGGCCAAUAAGUCCAUGAAAAGAUGUUCAACAUCGUUAGCCAUCAGGGACAUUCAAAUAAAAACAAACGUGAUAUUCUUCAUACCCUCUAGUACACUAUGGCUAUAAUAAAAAAGACAGACAAUAAUAAGUGUUGUGAAGAUGUGGAGAAAUUGGAACCCUCAUACACUGCCAGUGGGAAAGCAAAAUGGUACAGCAGCUUUAAAAAUUUAAACAUAGAGUUGCGGCAUGACACAGUGAUUCCACUCCUAGAUAUAUGCCUAAGAGAAAUAAAAACAUAUGUCCACAUAAAAACUUGUUCACUAAUGUUCAUAGAAGCACUAUUUACAAUAGCCAAAACGUGGAAACAAUGCAAAUGAUAAGCACCUGGUGAAUGGAUAAAUAAAAUAUGCUGUAUCCAUGCAAUGGAAUAUGGUUCAGGCUUAAAAGGGAAUGAACUAUUGAUGCAUGCUACAACAUUGUUGAGUCUCAGAAACAUUAUGCUAAGUGAAAGAGGUCAGACACAAAAAAUCACAUACCUAUUACAUGAUUCCAUUUAUAUGAAAUGUGCAGAAUAGACAAACCGUAGACACAGAAAGUAGAUUAGUGGCUGCCAGGGGCUGGGAGGCAGGAAGUAUAGAGAAUGAUUGCUUAUGGCUACAGGGUGGUUUGGGGCGGGGAGUGUGGGGGAGAACAGGUGAUUAAAAUGUUCUGGAAUUAGGUAGUCGCAAUGCUUGCACAACUUCAUGAAUACACUAAAAAUUACCAAAUUAUAUACUUUACAGUGGUGCAUUUAUCAUAGGUGAAUUAUAUCUCAAUCAAAAAUAACUACCUAGAAACACACAAAAAAAGCUAAUCAUCUCUCUCCUCAUUCUUCAUUUAAUCUCGCCUCUCAUAUUAAAAUUUGGAUCUUUUUAUUUGCAGUCUUUUCUUCUUGUUCUUACAUACGUACAUGCACAUAAAAGGGGUUUUGUCUUUGUUUUCUAUCCUUAUAAAAAUGAAGUCAGUAUAUACACAACUUGCUUUCUUCACUUAACUUCUCAGAGAUGUCCCACCAAGUCAAUACAUAUAUAGAUUUAAUUUGCAUAAAAUUCAUCUCUUUGAUGUACCAUAAUUUAUUCUUUCCCCCCCAAUCUGAUGGUUUUAAAAUGGUCUCACAAUAUUUCACAUCAUCAAGUUGUACCCAUUAAAUUUAUACAAUUUAUAUGCCAAAGACAUCUCAAUAAAGUUGUUAAAAAAGAUAUUGAAAAAAACGGUGUCACAUAAGUCUUAUACAUACAUGUCUUUUGGUGUCAUAUAAACACAUUUCUGCCAGGUAUGUCUACCUAGGAAUAGAACUGUCAGAUUGGGGCCAGCCCGGUGGCGCAGCAGUUAAGCACCAACGUUCUGCUUUGGUGGCCCGGGUUUCGCAGGCUCGGAUCCCGGGUGCGGACAUGGCACUGCUUGGCACGCCAUGCUGUGGUAGGUGUCCCACAUAUAAAGUAGAGGAAGAUGGGCACAGAUGUUAGCUCAGGGCCAGUCUUCCUCAGCAAAAAGAGGAGGAUUGGCAGCAGUUAGCUCAGGGGUAAUCUUCCUGAAAAAAAAAAAACAAAAGAACUGUCAGAUCCUGGGAUGGUACCCAUCUUUUCAGUGUUAGUAGAUGAUGCCAGUUUGCCAAAGGGAUUGCAUCAAGGUCAAUUUCCACUAGUAAUAUAUGAGCAACCCAGUUGCUGUACAUCCUCACCAAAACUUGGUAUUUUCUGCUGUUUCAUUUUUAGCCAUUCUGAUGAAUGUGUAGUGGUAUUGCAUUGUAGCUUUUAUUUUGUUGUUGUUGAACUUUUUAUUGAAAUGCACGUAUCAUAAGUAUAUAUCUCAGUCGAUUUCCAUAACCUGAGUAUACCUCCGUAACCAACACCUAGAUUAAGAAACAGAGCAUUACUAGAACAUAUGCAUAUCCCAUGACCUAGCAAUUCUACUCCUAGGCAUAUAUCCAACAGAAAGGCAAGUUUACAUUCACCAAAAGACACAACUCAAGUUUGAUAACUGUUACCAUUUUGUCACAUUCCCCUCAAAUCUUAAUAUAUCUUAAUAAAAGAAACAAAGAGUUGCAGUUAAAGUUGAAGCCCCUUUUGACUUCCAAUCCCAGGCCUAUUACCCUCCCCUAGGUCCCUGGGCCCCAAGCCAACCGCUCAUAAAUUGUGUGUUUUUAUACCACUGCAUGCAUGUAUUUAUAUCCUUGAAUUCAUUGCCUUUUCCUGACUCCCAGUGAUACCGAGCACCUUCUCCUAUUCUUUCUUCUGUGAACUGCCUGUUCACAUCACUGGCUCAUUUUUCUCUUGUGUUGUCUUUUGUUUAUUAAUUUGUAGGAGCCUUUGUUUAUUAGGAUAUUUACCAUUUUCUGUCAUUUUUAUCACAAACAUUUUUCCUCACUUUUUCUUUUCACUUUCUGGUAUCUUUUGCUUUGCAAAAAAUAUUAAUUUUUACAUAGUCGAACAUGUCUAUUUUUUUCUUUAAUUUCUCUGGGUUUCCUGUCUUGCUUAAGAAGACCUCUCCAUCCCCAAGGUUAUACAAAUAUUCCCUCAUAUUUAUUUCUAAUGUUUUAUUGUUUAUAUUUAGAUUUGUUUGCAAAGCACCAUAUCAGACACUACACGGGACACACAUGGACACCCUGGGGUGGGCCGGGAGAGAAUUGCCUACAUGGGAAAGAUGAGGUUGAAACCACUUUUGUCUUCUUUUGCUAUAUAGUUGAUGAAAAAGAAAAAUAUAUACCACUAAAAAUUACUCCAGCAGCUAGGCUACCAUUAGCAGGAAGUAGAAAAAUAUUAACCGUUUGAUAAAAUGAAAUCAGAUGAGGAUUUUUAAUCUGCAACUUUUUUCUGGUGGUAUUCAAAAGAUGUGGUAGUCCUAGAAGAAAAAAAAAAGGCGGGGGGCGGGGGGGAGCGCUGGCCCAGUGGCCAAAUGGUUAAGUUUGCCUGCUCUACUUUGGCGGCAGAGGGUUUCACUGGUUCAGACCCUGGGCACAGACCUAGUACCACUCAUCAGGUCAUGCUGAGGCAGCGUCCCACAUAGUAGCACCAGAAGGACCUACAACUAGAACAUACCACUAUGUACUAGGGGUUUUGGGGAGAAGAAGAAGAAAAAAAGAUUGGCAACAGAUGUUAGCUCAGGGCCAAUCUUUAAAAACAAAAAAAAUGUGGUAGUCCUGAAACUAUUCUAGUUCCUUUCUAGGUAACGACAAGGCCUAGGGAUGAGCAUUGACAACAGCUGAAAAUAGCUGCUUAACUUUAAAUACCAGACAAAGCCAUUUUUGGCGUUUGGUAUUUCUUUACCAACGCUGGCUCUCUUUGCUUUGUUCUCAUCGGGCGCUCCCCCGCAAGAGCAAAGGACUUUUUAACAACGGAGGGGCAUGGAGGAAGUGAGGUCUCUAAACAAAUAUUGUCGUUGCUCCCACUACCCAGACUCCUAAAUAUACUAUAUCUGAUUUCAGACUUUCCCAGCAAGGAUCAGAACAUACCAUCACUCAUAACUGAAGCAGUCACCUUGAGCUAAACUUGAAGAAUAGAGUUGGCGCUUACUUUGUUAAGCGGCGGAGAGCUGCCCAAACUUUUGGAGGCUGCUUCACCCCAGCUCGCUUCAGGUAGUAGUGGAAUCUGGAAGCCACAAAUGGGACAUAUCUGAUUUACAUAACAUAAACUAUCUGACUUAAUCGAAAUCCUCGGGAACUGUUUCCGCUCGCCCCCUUCUGGCCGAGUAAGCUCACGUCGCUAAAUGAGCCAUUUUAUUCCUCGCAGCUGCCCGCAAACGCAGACCUGGACGCAGAAAUGCUGUCGGCCGUGCGAGGGCGAGGUUCCAUUUGGAAAGGAUACAAGGUUUAAACUUUACUUAGCUCAUUUUUCAACAUUUGAUGGUAGAUAAACCAACGGCCCAUUCAACUCCCCUGAAAGUUUCCCAUAGGUUAAUUGAGGGGAAAAAGUGUUAUUUUGUUUGGGCUUUUCCUUAAAGCCAAUUAAAACCCUUUCUUGCGGAUGUGUUUUGCCUUAGCGAUGAGAAGGGAGACAUGUUUAGGGAGAG